rnacentral:rRNA from 1 species
GAUGAACGCUGGCGGCGUGCCUAAUACAUGCAAGUCGAGCGAACAGAUGAGGAGCUUGCUCCUCUGACGUUAGCGGCGGACGGGUGAGUAACACGUGGAUAACCUACCUAUAAGACUGGGAUAACUUCGGGAAACCGGAGCUAAUACCGGAUAAUAUAUUGAACCGCAUGGUUCAAUAGUGAAAGACGGUUUUGCUGUCACUUAUAGAUGGAUCCGCGCCGCAUUAGCUAGUUGGUAAGGUAACGGCUUACCAAGGCAACGAUGCGUAGCCGACCUGAGAGGGUGAUCGGCCACACUGGAGCUGGGACACGGUCCAGACUCCUACGGGAGGCAGCAGUAGGGAAUCUUCCGCAAUGGGCGAAAGCCUGACGGAGCAACGCCGCGUGAGUGAUGAAGGUCUUCGGAUCGUAAAACUCUGUUAUUAGGGAAGAACAAAUGAGUAAGUAACUAUGCACGCCUUGACGGUACCUAAUCAGAAAGCCACGGCUAACUACGUG